rnacentral:rRNA from 1 species
CGGAGUGGCGGACGGGUGAGGAAUACAUCGGAAUCUACUCUGUCGUGGGGGAUAACGUAGGGAAACUUACGCUAAUACCGCAUACGACCUACGGGUGAAAGCAGGGGAUCUUCGGACCUUGCGCGAUUGAAUGAGCCGAUGUCGGAUUAGCUAGUUGGCGGGGUAAAGGCCCACCAAGGCGACGAUCCGUAGCUGGUCUGAGAGGAUGAUCAGCCACACUGGAACUGAGACACGGUCCAGACUCCUACGGGAGGCAGCAGGG